rnacentral:tRNA from 1 species
GGGCCUGUAGCUCAGCUGGUUAGAGCAACCGGCUCAUAACCGGUUGGUCGCAGGUUCGAGUCCUGCCAGGCCCA